AACGAACGCUGGCGGCGUGCCUAACACAUGCAAGUCGAACGUGAUUAGAGAGCUUGCUCUCUAUGAAAGUGGCGCACGGGUGAGUAGCGCGUAGAUAAUCUACCUGAUGAUUCGGGAUAACACUUCGAAAGGGGUGCUAAUACCGGAUAAGCCCACGGAGUCCUUGGACUCUGCGGGAAAAGGGGGGGAUCGCAAGACCUUCCGUCAUCAGAUGAGUCUGCGUACCAUUAGCUAGUUGGUAGGGUAAAGGCCUACCAAGGCGACGAUGGUUAGCUGGUCUGAGAGGAUGAUCAGCCACACUGGAACUGAGACACGGUCCAGACUCCUACGGGAGGCAGCAGUGGGGAAUUUUGCGCAAUGGGGGAAACCCUGACGCAGCAACGCCGCGUGAGUGAUGAAGGCCCUUGGGUCGUAAAGCUCUGACAGAGGGAAAGAAAUGCAGGGGAGCUAAUAUCUCUUUUGCUUGACGGUACCCUCAAAGGAAGCACCGGCUAACUCCGUGCCAGCCGCCGCCGUAAGAC
rnacentral:rRNA from 1 species